rnacentral:lncRNA from 1 species
AGGUUUUGGCUUGUAAUAGUGCUGUACUGCUGCUGGUGACUGUUGAAAGAACAAAGAUUGUUUUCCCAGCUGUUUCCUUGUGUGUGAAGAUGUACUGUAGAAUCCAUGAAGAAAUUCUCUUAAAAGCAACUAAGGACUUCUUAGUUCCUCAAAGACCUAAACUUGCCUGCAGAAUCUGAUUCAGGAAAGACAGUAUUUGUUCUCAUGAAUGAAAGAAUUCAGAAUAAGGAAUCUGCAAAAACUUGGGUAUUUUGGCUCGAAGGCAUACUGCAAGUCGGCGAUUGGUUAUAGGACAGAGAUUAGUCCAGACUCCAGUUUCCUGUAGUCUACUUCAGGAAUUUUGGAUCUAAUAAUGCACUGCAAGUUGGUGGAUUGACUUUAGGACAUAUAUCCCUGUAGGGGGUGGUCAGGUGCUGAAGAUGAACUGUACUGUGGGAAAACUCGUCACACAUGAAGGGAUGUCGGAUUGUAAUAAUGGAUUGCAAGUUGGCCAAUUGAUCUUUGGACAAAUAAUGAUUAGUCCAGACUUCAGUUUCCUGUAGUCUACUUCAGGAAUUUUGGAUCCGAUAAUGCACUGUUGGUGGAUUGACUCUAGGACAAAUAUCCCUGAUAUUGAUGCUGAAGAUGAACUGUACUGUGGGGAAAAUUCGUCACACAUGAAGGGAUGUUGGAUAAUGGAUUGCAAGUUGGCCAAUUGAUCUAUGGACAAAUAAUGACUAGUUUCCCAGCUGCAAUUCCUCUUCUGUGAUGUUGGUGCUUUUUCACUGGGAUGUAUGAUCUUUCUAAAACUUCUGGUUUUGUAAAGACUGAUGUACUGCAAGGUGUCUGAUUUUUAGGACAAAGAUUAGUCCAGACUCCAGUUUCCUGUAGUCUACUUCAGGAAUUUUGGGAUCGAUAAUGCACUGUUGGUGGAUUGACUUUAGGACAAAUAUCCCUGAUAUUGAUGCUGAAGAUGAACUGUACUGUGGGGAAAAUUCGUCACACAUGAAGGGAUGUCGGAUUGUAAUAAUGGAUUGCAAGUUGGCCAAUUGAGCUUUGGACAAAUAAUGGUGACUGCGGUUUCGAGCAAUAUUGAUAUUGCCGCCAAGACUAGAGGAAAUAAAGCACUUUUGUAAACCAGCUGCAGUAAUGGUCUUCCAGGGAAGAGGUAAUUAAAAGUAGCAGGUAAGUUGCAUUUAAGUCUAAGGUUGGAGAAGUAUAAAUACUAGAAUUAAUGCCUAUACAUCAAAAUGACAGAGCUAAAUUGCUGAAUAGACAUUGAAUUCUUCAGCAUCGCAUGUAUCUUAUGAAUUUUGAUAUUGGAUGCAAAUUACAUAGUACAUAUUUGUGCCAUGUCAAGAGACUUCAAAACCAACUGAUUAAGAAUUCAAUUAUGAAAAGUUAAGCCUAACAGGACGGGCAGUUUUUGGCAUUAUUAGUUUCAAAGUCCAGGAUGGUCCCCGUCAUUUUCAGGUGGAAGCAGAUUUAGUGGUUGAAUUUUUUUUUUUGCCAUUUUAAAAAUUUGUAUGGUUUUCUUGAACAAUUGGUAUGUUUUCGAGCCUUACAAUCUGUUUAGGGACCCAUAUUCCAAUUUCUAGUCAGUUAUAUUGAUGUAAUUUUUUUUUUUUUUUUUUUUUUUUUUUUAAGAAACUUCCACUUUAGUUUGAUGUAAUGCAGGCCUUUUCAGUAUUAAUUUUCUUUUAAGCUUUCAGUUGAUAUUAAUUUUAGUGCAUGUUUUUGCAUGUCAUAACCCCCUUUUCUUGGCGAGAAAUAAAAUGGAAAAUAAAAA